GGCUGCCACUGGGGAAGGUUUUCUGGUUGGAGAUCCGUCCUUUGUGGAGUUUUCCUGCGAGUGUAAAUCUUCAGAGACAGGAUCCCCUCAAGAGAAAAAAGGCAUAUAAAAAGGAAGCUGAAAUUCCUCAAGGAUAACGUUCUACAUGCUAGCAGGGAGGCAUCCUUACCAUGGGAAUGUUCCAAAAAGAAAUCACAGAAAUGCAUUUCCACCAGGGAAAGAAAAAGGCAGCCACUCUACAAUAAUGCUGGAGCUCUGCUUGUUUUAAGCAUCAACUGUGAUGACAUGAUUAAAAAAUCAGCAUCGUUACAACCACAAGGACCUUUUCCGUGUGAGAGCACAUAAAACAUUAUUAGUGAACUUCUGUCUCCUGGCAUAUGUGUUGCACCCUCCAAAUGAGCUGGAAAGAAGGCUGAUGUAAAUCGGCAUUCAUUUUGGGAUCUUUGCUAUUGAUGGACAGUACUUAAGUUAGGCAUCACUAUAAAUCAAGAUGUCUUGUCCCAGUGUCCUCUUGUACUCUUUGUGUGUUACAACUUACCUGAAUGAUUGGAUGCUAUAUUAAACUGUGAUAUUACCCUACAGUCUACGUCUGACUUUCAGAGGAUCUUGGGUGGUACAACUACAUCACUUUAAUCCACAGGUAUUUGUGUAGCAUUUGCCUAGAUAUGGAUAGCAGUUUGAGGUUGGAAGAGCAAAAACUGUUGGAUAUUAGACAUUUCUAAUUCAUUCUUAGCUCUAUAAUGUGGGAACCUCGUUUUCUGGAAAAAAAAAGUGGGGGUUAUGAGUUGUAAAGUCUAAUUGAAAAGACAAAAUGCAGUCAAACAUGAUGUCUGUUAUUACUGUG